rnacentral:rRNA from 1 species
AUUGAACGCUGGCGGCAGGCCUAACACAUGCAAGUCGAGCGGAGCGGCGGACGGGUGAGGACUGCCUCGGAAUCUGCCUGGUAGUGGGGGAUAAAGUCCGGAAACGGGCGCUAAUACCGCAUACUAUCAGAUGAGCCUAGGUCGGCUUGGCUUGUUGGUGGGGUAAAGGCCAACCAAGGCGACGAUCAGUAACUGGUCUGAGAGGAUGAUCAGUCACACUGGAACUGAGACACGGUCCAGAAUCCUACGGGAGGCAGCAGUGGGGAAUAUUGGACAAUGGGCGAAAGCCGGAUCCAGCCAAGCCGCGUGUGUGAAGAAGGUCGUCGGGUUUUAAAGUACUUUCAGCGGGGAGGCGUUACCCGCAGAAGAAGCACCGGCUAACUCCGUGCCAGCAGCCGCGGUAAUUC